GUAAUUACUCGUUACUCACUCCUUCACUUUGUGUAGAAGGAGGACAGGAAAGACUUUGAACAGGAAGUGAAGGGGCGUGGCUUAUCUGGCCAUGGCCUGGAGGAGACGCCAGAGCUGCUGAGGGCUCGAAACGCCACUCAGAUACUGAACCAGAGGGUUUACAAGCAGACAGAGCAGCUCCAUGAAACCUCCUACGGGACAGUGACCGACACUCCUGAGCUGCUGCACGCCUCCUACCUCAAAGACGUCUACAGUCAGAAGAAGUAUAAGGACGAGGCUGAGCGGCUGAAGGGAAGUUACAGUCACUUGUGUGAAACUCCAGAGAUGAAACGAGUCAAAGCCAACCAGCGACACAUCAGCUCAGUGAGGACGAGCUCCAAACACACACAUUCACUUUCCUCUGAACAACAACUCCCAUCUAACGCAGCCCUCUGGCGCCCUCUAGCUGCGGUACAGCUGGGACUCCAGGCUCAUGAGAGGACAUUCUGGAUGUUAACAGAUGUGUAAUUCCUGUGAACAGUGAACGCAGUAUGUUAUAACUAAUUUAGUCAUUGCCUUAUUCCUUUGUAUAUGGCAAGUUUUCAAUUGCAAAGUAGUAAAGAAAAGCUUCUCAGGUCAUUUAGCACUGCCAUCUACUGGCGAUAGUAAAUUCUGCAGCAGAUCAACAUACACUGACCUCCACACAUUAGUCAGAUUAGUUGUUCAUAAUAUAAUAUAAUAAUACCCUCAGUGGGCCUGAUGUUAACUAGUGAGGCAUAAUUGUCCACUAGUAAACUAGUUCGGGUUUGUUUGACCUUACUAGUUAACUAGUGCGGCUUAAAGAGAGUCACUAGCUAACUAGUAAGAGCCAAAAUGUCCACUAGUCACACUUUUUAAACCUUACUAGUAAACUAGUGAGGCUCAAAAUGGCUCACUAGCUUACUAGUGGAGCCUAAAAGUCCACUAGUGAGCUAGUUGGGGUCUUUUUGGCCGUACUAGUGAGCUAGUCACAGCCACAUUCUUUUACUAGUAAACUAGUAAGGUCCAAAAAGAGCCACUAGUAAACUAGUGGCCCUGAUGUUUCCCUCACUAGCUUACUAGUGGAAGACAUUUUGUCUCACUAGUUCAACUCUGUACAAAACAUGUAGGGACUCUGACCGAGCAUGUUGAACAUUUUUCUUACAUGUUGGCCAUUUUCUUCAACUAGUUCAGCUUUGCUCAGAACUAGUGAACGACUGUGCGCAACUAGUAAGACAUUUGAUCGACAUGUUGGGCUUUAUUUCCAGCUAGUUGGCAUUUUGGUUACACUAGUUGACUUUAUCAUCUUACUAGUUUGACAAAACUGCUUACUAGUCGACAUGCGCACGCAACUAGUUAACUAGUGAUGUGAUAAAAUGUCACUAGAUAACAUGUAGGACAAUACAGAAUUUCACUAGUAAAUUAA